AUAAUGAUACUCCUAUCCAGCCACAGUCCGAGCGUGAUAAAACCGUCGCAGGCAAUGGGGAUAGCUUGCCGCAAGGGCAAGGGGUGAAACUCCCGUGA
rfam:Clostridiales bacterium GWF2_38_85 gwf2_scaffold_958, whole genome shotgun sequence.